UACGUAGGGGGCAAGCGUUGUCCGGAAUCAUUGGGCGUAAAGCGCGUGUAGGCGGCUCGAUAAGUCCGCUGUGAAAGCCCGGGGCUCAACCCCGGGAUGCCGGUGGAUACUGUCGAGCUAGAGUCCGGAAGAGGCGAGUGGAAUUCCUGGUGUAGCGGUGAAAUGCGCAGAUAUCAGGAGGAACACCAAUUGCGAAGGCAGCUCGCUGGGACGGUACUGACGCUGAGACGCGAAAGCGUGGGAAGCAAACAGG
rnacentral:rRNA from 1 species